rnacentral:lncRNA from 1 species
AUAUUUCAUAAUAUAAUACUGUUUACACUAAAAGUCAAUUAAACCACCCACAUGUUUGCCGAAAUAAAAGACAAUAAUUGUUUCAUUCCAUAUUCGAUAGAAAAAAUAUGGUAACAUACUGGUAAAGUAAUUGUUUAUUAUAAAAUACGUUUUUCUUGGAAUAAGGGAUAAAACAGUUAUUGGCUGUUAUAUCAGUAAAUAUGUGGUUUAAUUGACUUUCAUAAAAAUAUAUAUUCACCUUGGUCGUCAAUAUAACCAUACAGAUAGAGAUAUGGCGUAAAUACUACACGGAAGUUCUGAAAGCGGACAUUUCAAAUUAUUUUACUGUAACAAUCAGACCCGUAAGCUCAAAAAGAGUCUUAUAGUCAACAAUCAUAGCAUUACUACACAUCUGAUAAAGUUUUUUGUAACUGAUUGCAGGUUUCUUGAUGUAUUGAUUAAGUGAAUUGCACAAAACACUCACUAAAUAUAUGUAUCGUUUUAUCGCGGUUUCUAAUCAGUGCUCUACAAGUUAUAUCUGUGUUUUAACUACAGGUCACCAACUGUUAUCAAAGAGCUUAUCAUGAACUUUUGUAAUAAAGCAUAAAAAAAUAGUCGAAUAUCAAAAUAUCUACAAUGUUUUGGUAAAUUUCGUGCUCUGAUGGUCAUAUUAAUUGGUUGGCGGUUUUUAUUUUUCGAUUCUCUAUAGCAGUAC